CAUCUUUCAAUAGUUUAAUUACAUGUUUCCAGGUGAUGGUCGUACAAAUCAACAAUUCAUAUAUAAAACAACAUUUAUUAACAAAUAUUUACACAAGGUUCAGGAUCAAUAGUGUAGAGGAGAGUUUGACUUCAGACAUAAAUACAUGUUUGGUUGUUAGGGUAUCUGAAAAUAGUACUCUACUAUCAAAGUCAGUUUCAUACCACUGUUAUUAUAUGUUAUUAUUAUAUACUUAGUAGUAAAUACAGAUAAAUUGUAUGUGUAAUACAAUCAAUGGCAAGCGUGCUGUAUCAGCACCCGUGAUGAUAUCGAUAUCAGACGGUGCAAAAGCUUUAUCAACUUUUAAUCUGUAUGACGUCACGUCAUCGAUUGCAGUCACUGUUGCAAAGUUUUAUCAAAUCCCUAAUCUGUAUGACGUCAUGUCAAACCUAUAAUCUGUAUGACGUCAUUUCAAAACUCCUUAUAUAUCUGUAUGACGUCAUGUCACAUAAAAAAAAACAUCUACUUGAGGUAAAUGUAUAUAAUAAAGUGUAUAUGAUAUGGUUGAUAUCCCUCAACCAAUAUAAUCCCUCGAGCAGAGCUCUUGGGAUUAUAUUGGUGUCUGGGGUUGAUACGGAUGCGAUAUUGAAAAAGCCAUAUGAUAUUCUCUUAUUUAUAUAUGGGGCUGAUAUAUUUUCCUUUCUGUUGUAUAAUCGAAUAUUCAAAACUGGGUACAAGAAGGUUUAUAAAGUUCUGUCAUUUUCGGUUUCCAUUGGCCUGAUUUAUAAACAUGUCCACGAAAGUUAAUGCAUCAUUAACAAUACCUUUACAUUUGACUACAUCUUUUUGUUCAACGGAUUAAAAAAGAUCUAAGAAACUUGUAUGAUGUUACAAGUAAAUUCCAACAUAAAUUUGUUUUAUUUUAGCAGGAAUAUUAGAUUAUGUACAUGAUGUACAAAAGAUGCUGGGUAAUGACAGUAUCUUUUAUUAAUGUCACUAUGAUACUAAUCUCCUUUAAAGGUGUACCUCUGUAUAUGACAGAGUAUUAAUCAUUGAGGUAGAUAUUCAUAGAAUUAUUCCUUGAAACCAAGUUGUAUAAAACACACGGAUAGUUAUAUAAACAAUAUAUUGUUAGGGCAGGUUUAAAUGACUGAAAUUUUUUUUUUAAAUACUUUUUAAUAACAAACUGAACUAGAGGCUCUCAAGAGCCUGUAUCGCUCACCUGAUUCUACUUGGGUUUUUGAAAUCAUAUGAAAAAAUAUAAAAUUUGGCUAAAAGUGACAACACAACCUCAUUGAUAAGGAAAGGAACAUGUUUAAUUUCAUUCAAAAGUCCCCCACUGGCGGCCAUCUUGGAUGGCGGAUCGGCUACAAAGUAACAACACUUGGUCAGCACCUCAUAAGGAACAGUCAUGCCAUGUUUGGUUUUAUUCCAUUCAGUGGUUCUCUAAAAGAAGUCAUUUGUAUGCAUUUCCCAUAGGGUCCUAUGUUAAACUAAG
rnacentral:lncRNA from 1 species